GAUGCCAAAAACCCUAAACUCAUCCCAACCCACACCACCGCCUGUCUCUCCCACCCGCCGCCGCCCCAUCUCACCCCAUCCCCAGUCCUGGUCGGUGCCUUCCAAAGGACCAAAUCCCCUAGCGCAGAGACGAGAAGGUUCGCGUGCAGCGCGUCGAGGAGGUCGAGGGCGACGCCAACCACAUCCCUUGAUGAAUCCUUCCCUCAGAGCUUCGAAGACUGGCGCGCGGCGCGAGGAGGCCAAGGGCAACGCCCCACCUCAGCAUCGACCAAUCCUUCCCUCAGUCAACUCAGACAAUGUUGAGAACGAUGCCAUCCCCAGAUUCACCGCAUCUGUUCAUCCCUGCUCGAUUUGGGAAGAUUCCACAUGAACUGUGUUUGUUUCUUGGUUGUAUUUGAUGGAUUUCCUGGAUUUUUGCAGGUGCAGGGCUUACCUACCUGUACACCAAGAACAGGGCGAGCAGGUCCAAGUGCCCUGUCAUCUCGAAGAAGAACCACUGGGAGAUCCACACUGGGGGAGUAAUUGGUUGUUAGUGCAGCUUUACUUUGUUUUUCUGUUUAUUGCAAAUGAGUGUAGUCUCGGUGAUCCUGCAGCGUCAGCAUGCGUUGUCUGUUUUUGUUAUUUAGACCAGAUGAAUCUAGAUUGGUUAAUGGCAGUGGCCCAUUCAUGUGUGUCCCUCUUCCUGCUGUGCUCUUUUUGAUUGAUUAUAUGCCUGACCAGGAUCUAUGCAAAUGUUGUAAUGGGCGAGACUGGCAUGCAGAUUAGAUGACUAAAUCAGGGAUAGACAUUAUAUAAUAAUAUGUUCAUGGCUAGUAACUAGCUAUGAGUAAAGUUUUAUUUUUUCUGUAGUAGUUGCUAUCUUACCAAAUAGACUACUUUCUUACAUUUUCUUGCUCGAGGCUUGGUUAAUAUUAUAGGUUUAACUAGCUCCUAGUUAUUCUGAAAAGUGUAGCAAUUACACUGGAGGAGUCAUGCAGUUACGCACAUGUUGCUGGUCUAAUUGCUUAUAUACUAACCUACUGUUCUUGUGCAGGCAAAAGCACAUAUGCAAAGAAAGCACAUAACCAAGAGGAGUUCAAGAACAAUCAGGAAAGAUGACAAGCCAUCCUUUGCAUCUGUGAGACGGCAGCAGCAAUUUUGCUCUCUUCGUCUCUGUUUGAAGUCAGAGUACUGUGGUGUUUAUGAAAUAAACAUUUUCAGUACUUGUAAUAGCAAAGCAGUACACUAUUUAGUUUAGUUCAGCAAUUGCAGUUUCUUUCUAGAGAUAACCACAGGUCAUGGUUAUCUAAGUUUCGUAUUUGGUGUGCUAUCUAUAUGCUGUACUUUUUUAUUUUAGAACCAGCAACACUUAGCUUGUAUAUGCUGAAUCUAUUGUAUACAGCAACUCAUUAUAUAAAUAAAUAAAUGUCUAUUUGUAUGA